UCAAGUGCUUUCAUGAAGCUGUUAAUAGCAUUUUUCUUUGCAUUUUUUAAACAUUUUUUUUAGGACUAGACUAAUUACUCGUACCUAGAAAGGUCCAUAUAUGUCAUCAUUCUUGUAAAACUUGCCUAGGUCACAAUUGGUACAAGUAUGGGCAGCUUAGAAACAAAAUAUAUGUUCUUCCUCCUUUCCAUGCAUGCUGUCUUUGAAGCGAGUCCAUAGCUACGCACAAGCCAUUAUCGAUUUAAAC
rnacentral:lncRNA from 1 species